AAUCAUCUUCUAUAGUUUCUCAUUGCAUAGGUUCUAUGGAUUUUUUUUCUUCAAAAGAUUUGUAUUGUAGCUACUAUCUUACCUAAGGAAUGCCUUACUAUUUGGUUGCUUAGGAAUGGAGUAUGGCUUUACUAUCUAGAUGACCAAAACAGGGCUGCAUUUGUACGAAGGACCUGAGGAUGGUAUGCAUAUCCUUGGGUUUACCCAUCCUGUUUGGUGGGCGUUGAAAGGGACUACUUAGCCUUAAGCAAGCAAUAUCCAAAAUUAUUAAUAUCCCUGGAAUUCACCGAGAUUGUUCUGCACUGGCCAAAGGGAAACCUAAAUCCGUCAUUACACACUCCUGUCAGGU